ACAAGAAGAAAUAAUUAUCUGAAUUGUCCUUGGAUCCACUAAUUGUACCUUUCUGUCUAUUCCCUAAGAAGAUGCCCUGGAUUCAAAGACUCUGUAUUAGCACAAGUAAUUGAAAAAACAGCUUAUUUUCUGACACUGACAGUCCUUUCCUUCAACUCGUCCAGAAGGCUGACAGCCCAUCUCAUUCUCAUCACUGUUAUCCCACCAGCUUCUCUGGGAGUUCAGCACUACAUUUAGCCAGUUCUGCUAGUCUUUCUGGGCCCCUCAUUUCUGAGCUGCAACAUCUCUAUCCACAAGAAUUCAGGACCAGAUGGUGUUCAUCUCAAGCUGUGAGAGAUCUCAGCUCCAAAACUGGAAAGCUUCUGACAAACACAUGCCAUAUAUUCCUUAAAAUAGGAGUUCUUCCUGGUUGCUGUGAAAGUGUCACCAGGGAGCAUCACUUUGAAAAUGCUCUGAAGAGUGACCUCAGGAGUUGCAGAAAUGACAAUGAAAAACAAGGACGCUUUUCUUCAGAAGCAGAUAUUUAGGAAUGGCUAUUGACAAUGGUGUAGUCUGCUACACCCAGGCAAGAAAAAGCAAUAAGAAAGUCUUUCUUCAAGUCCCCAGGAAAUGGAAGUCACAAGUAGCAGCAAUUUGAAUAUCCUUAAAAUGAAUGAAAGGAAAUAAUUCUGCAGAAUUCAGUGCUAACAGCAUAUCAUAAAAAUUAAGAUCUGCAAGGCCUAAAGGAUUAGAUCAUUCUGUUACCAUUAACAGUUUUGCAGGAGACAAAUUAUAUGACCAAUGUCAGAUAUGAGAUCCUGGGUUAUAAACUGCACUUCUUGAAGUGAAAUGAAGAAAAAUACCUUCCAUAGAAUUGUACAAAAAGAGAGGCAUAAUUUUAGUUGGACAGAGGUUAUCUUCCUCUGAUACAGAAGAGUGAUCUGAACUGGUGAGUUAAUAUACAAGUUUGCUGUUGAAUUCUGAUGACCCAUCUUAGACUUUAAUAUUUCUGAGGAAUGCAAUGCCUACCUGUGGGUGUGCAUUGCUUACAUGUGUUUCCUCAUUAGAUACUGGUAUUUUAUGGAGAAUGAACUUCAAAUAAAGUCAAAUGAAAUUGA